CUACGGGGUGCACCAGUGGGGAAUAUUGGACAAUGGGGGAAACCCUGAUCCAGCAAUGCCGCGUGUGUGAAGAAGGCCUGCGGGUUGUAAAGCACUUUCGGUUGGGAGGACUGCUUCUAGCACUAAUAUUGUUGGAAGUUGACGUUACCUUCAGAAGAAGCACCGGCUAACUCCGUGCCAGCAGCCGCGGUAAUACGGAGGGUGCAAGCGUAAAUCGGAAUUACUGGGCGUAAAGCGCGCGUAGGCGGCUAGAUCAGUCGGGUGUGAAAGCCCCGGGCUUAACCCGGGAACUGCAUCCGAUACUGUCUAGCUUGAGUACAGGAGAGGAGAGUGGAAUUCCACAUGUAGCGGUGAAAUGCGUAGAUAUGUGGAGGAACACCAAUGGCGAAGGCAGCUCUCUGGCCUGAUACUGACGCUGAGGUGCGAAAGCGUGGGGAGCAAACAGGAUUAGAUACCCCCGUAGUC
rnacentral:rRNA from 1 species